CUGGUAUGGCAUACAGGUGAGAUGUAAGGGUACAUCAUCAUUAAACAUGACCAACUCCAGAGUAUUCUGCUGUCGAGAAUAUCUCUGAUGGGAUAUAGGUAUAAGUGUCCCUUAGACUUGAGAUCUCCUCAGUGACUUGCAAGCAACUCACUGUGCUUUGGUACUGGACUAACUGAAUUUCUAUUUCAGGGACGGAAGGCUUCUGGGCACAGUCAAGUACUUGCGAAGUCAGAGUGUGAUCGAGAUGGGAUUGACCACUCCAAGAGUUGGAGAAGAAUGAGUCACUGUAUUUCAAUUUAGCAAAACCUUGGCCAGGGUAAUUCAUCAGAUGGAU
rnacentral:lncRNA from 1 species